rnacentral:rRNA from 1 species
GAUGAAUGCUGGCGGCGUGCCUAACACAUGCAAGUCGAGCGGCAGCGCGGGGUGCUUGCACCCUGUCGGCGAGCGGCGAACGGCUGAGUAACGCGUGGAAAUUUUCCCCAAAAUGAGGAAUAACUGCCCGGAAGGGUAGCUAAUGCCGCGAAUGGUCUUCGAAUCAAAGGAUUUAUCCGCGUUGGUAGAAGCUUGCGUUGGAUUAGGUUGUUGGUAGGGUAAUGGCCUACGAAGCCGACGAUCCAUAGCUGGUAUGAGAGGAUGAUCAGCCAGACUGGAUCUGAGACACGGUCCAGACUCCUACGGGAGGCAGCAGUGAGGAAUCUUCCACAAUGGGCGAAAGCCUGAUGGAGCAACGCCGCGUGAAGGAUGAAGGCCUUCGGGUUGUAAACUUCUUUUAUGAGUGAAGAAUAUGACGGUAACUCAUGAAUAAGCACCGGCUAACUACGUG